rnacentral:sRNA from 1 species
GCUCAGAUGUGGUGGCUCAUGCCUCUAAUCCGUGCUGCUGGGAAGGUUGAGGCUGGCGGAUUAGCCAGAGUUCUGCAGUUCUGAGCUGCAGUGCCCAAAGCUGAUUGAAUGUCCACACUAAGCUGAGCACUAGACUUUCUAAGGAGGGGUGAGCCAGCCUGGAUUGGAAAUGGAGCAGGUCUAAACCCUCAUGCUGAUCAGUAAGGGGAUCAGGCCUAUGAGUAGCUAUUUCACUUCCAGCGUAGGUGACAUAGGGAGACCUAGUCUCC